UAGGGGAAUUUUGGACAAUGGGCGCAAGCCUGAUCCAGCCAUGCCGCGUGCAGGAUGAAGGCCUUCGGGUUGUAAACUGCUUUUGUACGGAACGAAAAGCCUCUCUUUAAUAAAUGGGGG
rnacentral:rRNA from 1 species